GAGCCUGUAGCUUAGUCUGGUUGGAGCGCUGCUCUUAUAAAGCAGUGGUCCGGGGUUCAAAAUCGUUUGGCAAGUCGUUUUCAGAUUUGCUUUUCGCUGAAUUUCCCCGCAGGCUCA
rnacentral:tRNA from 1 species